rnacentral:siRNA from 1 species
UCGUGCAUUAACAGUUGGCGC